UACGGAGGGUGCAAGCGUUACUCGGAAUUACUGGGCGUAAAGCGUGCGCAGGCGGUUAUAUAAGACAGUUGUGAAAUCCCCGGGCUCAACCUGGGAACUGCAUCUGUGACUGUAUAGCUAGAGUACGGUAGAGGGGGAUGGAAUUCCGCGUGUAGCAGUGAAAUGCGUAGAUAUGCGGAGGAACACCGAUGGCGAAGGCAAUCCCCUGGACCUGUACUGACGCUCAUGCACGAAAGCGUGGGGAGCAAACAGG
rnacentral:rRNA from 1 species